rnacentral:tRNA from 1 species
GCCCUGGUAGCUCAGUUGGUUAGAGCGCAUAACUUAGCAGCAUGAGGUCCCGGGUUCGAAUCCCGGCCAGGGCU